CUCCAUGUGCAGAACAUGUGCAGGGGUGGGUUUCCUCCUCUCUGAUUUUGAUUGACAAGCUGGCAGGGUAGUCUGAUUGGCAACUGAGAACUGAGUCUGAUUGGCAACUGAGUAAAGGACAAAGGUUAUUGGUGGAUCGCUACACAGCACAUGCAGAGUCACAUGCAGUGUAUCUCAGUCGGCUACCCUUGAAAUUAACUGAGUUCAUUCACCUCCGACAUCACAGGCUCUGCAAUGUGACUAUCGCACACAUGUAUAUCGUGCAGGCCUACAAGAGAGAAAAAUAACAUACAUUUUUCUGCGGUAGGCUCGGGUCCGUAUUGGACUCUUUCCUGGUCCGGAAGUGGACCGCGGUCUGCCAUACGGAGACCACUGCUUUAGACUAUGUGUUUGUAGAGAAAUUAUUUUUGGAGGUUCAGUUGGGAAUUACAGUAGGUAUGGUGAAGGGUUAUACAAAACGAGUUUUGCAUAUUAAGAAGGAAUAGGAAAGGGAGGGAAUAGAGUGAAAUGUAUCUAAAGGAGUAAGGUUAGGGUGCUUUAGUACAAAGUGUCAGAGGAUGGGGAAGGGAGAAGCAGGUGGUCGGGACUGCAAUCAUUCUGCUUAGGGUUAGUGUUGAGGCUAGGGUUAGGGUAAGGGUUGUGGUUGAGGCUAGGGUUAGGGUGAGUGUUAGAGUUACGUUUGAGGCUAGGGUUAGGGUUAGGGUUAGGGAGAUAUUUGAGGCCAGGGUUAGGGUUAGGGUUGUGGCUGAGGCUAGGGUUAGGGUUAGGGUUAGGGUUAGGGUUACGUUUGAGGCUAGGGUUAGGGGUAGAGUGAUGUUUGAGGCUAGAGUUAGGGUUAGGGUUGUGGUUGAGGCUAGGGUUAGGAUUAGGGUUAGGGUUAUGUUUGAGGCUAGGGUUAGGGUUAGGGUUGUGGUUGAGGCUAGGGUUAGGGUUAGGGUUAGAGAGAUAUUUGAGGCUAGGGUUAGGGUUAGGGUUCUCAUGAGGCUAGGGUUAGGGUUAGGGUUAGGGUUGUGGUUUAGGCUAGGGUUAGGGUUAAGGUUAGAGUGAUGUUUGAGGCUAGGGUUAGGGUUAAGGUUGAGGAUAGGGUUAGGGUUGUGGCUGAGGCUAGAGUUAGGGUUAGGGUCAGUUUGAGGCUAGGGUUAGGGUUAGGGUUAGAGUGAUGUUUGAGGCUAGGGUUAGGGUUAGGGUUAGGGUUGUGGUUGAGGCUAGGGUUAGGGUUAGGGUUAGGGUUACGUUUGAGGCUAGGGUUAGGGUUAGGGUUAGAGUGAUGUUUGAGGCUAGGGUUAGGCUUAGGGUUAGGGUUAUGGUUGAGGCUAGGGUUAGGGUUAGGGUUAGGGUUGUGGUUGAGGCUAGGGUUAGGGUAAGAGUGUUGUUUGAGGUUAGGGUAAGGGUUAUGGUUGAGGCUAGGGUUAGGGUUAGGGUUGUGGCUGAGGCUAGGGUUAGGGUUAGGGUUAGGGUUACGUUUGAGGCUAGGGUUAGGGUUAGGGUUAGAGUGAUGUUUGAGGCUAGGGUUAGGGUUAGGGUUAGAGAGAUAUUUGAGGCUAGGGUUAGGGUUAGGGUUGUGGUUGAGGCUAGGGUUAGGGUUAGGGUUGUGGUUGAGGCUAGGGUUAGGCUUAGGGUUAGGGUUAUGGUUGAGGCUAGGGUUAGGGUUAGGGUUAGGGUUGUGGUUGAGGCUAGGGUUAGGGUUAGGGUUAUGGUUGAGGCUAGGGUUAGGGUUAGGGUUAGGGUUGUGGUUGAGGCUAGGGUUAGGGUUAGGAUUGUGGCUGAGGCUUGGGUUAGGGUUAGGGUUAGGGUUGUGGUUGAGGCUAGGGUUAGGGUUAGGGUUAGGGUUGUGGCUGAGGCUAGGGUUAGGGUUAGGGUUAGAGUUUUGUUUGAGGCUAGGGUUAGGAUUAGGGUUAGCGUGAUGUUUGAGGCUAGGGCUAGGGUUAAGGUUAGGGCUGUGGUUGAGGCUAGGGUUAGGGUUAGGGUUAGGGUUAUCGUUGAGGCUAGGGUUAGGGUUUGGGUUAGGGUUGAGGCUAGGGUUAGGGUUAGGGUUACGUUUGAGGCUAGGGUUAGGGUUACGUGUGAGGAUAGGGUUAGGGUUAGGGGUAGUCUUGUUGUUGAGGCUAGAGUUAGGGUUGUGGUUGAGGCUAGGGUUAGGGUUGGGGUUAGAGAGAUAUUUGAGGCCAGGGUUAGGGUUGUGGCUGAGGCUAGGGUUAGGGUUAGGGUUACGUUUGAGGCUAGGGUUAGGGUUAGGGUUAGAGUGAUGUUUGAGGCUAGGGUUAGGGUUAGGGUUAGAGAGAUAUUUGAUGCUAGGGUUAGGGUUAGGGUUGGGGUUGUGGUUUAGGCUAGGGUUAGGGUUAGGGUUAGGGUUGUGGUUGAGGCUCGGGUUAGGGUUAGGGUUAUGGCUGAGGCUAGGGUUAGGGUUAGGGUUAGGGUUGUGGCUGAGGCUAGGGUUAGGGUUAGGGUUAGGGUUGUGGCUGAGGCUAGGGUUAGGGUUAGGGUUAGAGUUUUGUUUGAGGCUAGGGUUAGGGUUAGGGUUAGAGUGAUGUUUGAGUCUAGGGCUAGGGUUAGGGUUAGGGUUGUGGUUGAGGCUAGGGUUAGGGUUAGGGUUAGGGUUCUCGUUGAGGCUAGGGUUAGGGUUAGGGUUAGGGUUGUGGCUGAGGCUAGGGUUAGGGUUAGGGAUAGGGUUAUCGUUGAGGGUAGGGUUAGGGUUAGGGUUAGGGUUGUGGCUGAGGCUAGGGCUAGGGUUAGGGUUAGGGUUAUGGUGAUUUUUGAGGCUAGGGUUAGGGUUAGGGUCACGGUUGUGGUUGAGGCUAGGGUUAGGGUUAGGGUGAGAGAGCUUUUCGAGGCUAGGCUUAGGGUUAGGGUUAUGGUUAUGGUUGAGGCUAGGGUUAGGGUUAGCGUUAUGGUUGAGGCUAGGGUUAGGGUUUUGGCUGAGGCUAGGGUUAGGGUUACGUUUGAGGCUAGGGUUAGGGUUAGGGUUGUGGUUGAGGCUAAGGUUAGGGUUAGGGUUAGGGUUAUGGUUGAGGCUAGGGUUAGGGUUAGGGUUGUGGUUGAGGCUAGGGUUAGGGUUAGGGUUAGGGUUAUGGUUGAGGCUAAGGUUAGGGUUAGGGUUGUGGCUGAGCCUAGGGUUAGGGUUAGGGUUAGGGUUAGGGUUUUGGCUGAGGCUAGGGUUAGGGUUAGGGUUAGAGUUAUGUAUGAGGCUAGGGUUAGGGUUAGGGUUAGAGUGAUGUUUGAGGCCAGGGCUAGGGUUAGGGUUAGGGUUGUGAUUGAGGCUAGGGUUAGGGUUAGGGUUAGGGUUGUGGUUGAGGCCAGGGUUAGGGUUAGGGUUAGGGUUGUGGUUGAGGCUAGGGUUAGGGUUGGGGUUAGGGUUACGGUUGAGGCUAGGGUUAGGGUUAGGGUUAGGGUUGUGGUUGAGGCUAGGGUUAGGGUUAGGGUUAGGGUUAUGGUUGAGGCUAGGGUUAGGGUUAGGGUUACGGUUAUGGCUGAGGCUAGGGUUAGGGUUAGGGUUAGGGUUGUGGCUGAGGCCAGGGUUAGGGUUAGGGUUAGGGUUAGGGUUAGAGAGAUAUUUGGGGCUAGGGUUAGUGUUAGGGUUGUGGUUGAGGCUAGGGUUAGGGUUAGGGUUAGGGUUAGAGUUAUGUUUGAGGCUAGGGUUAGGGUUAGAGUGAUGUUUGAGGCCAGGGCUAGGGUUAGGGUUAGGGUUGUGGUUGAGGGUAGGGUUAGGGUUAGGGUUAGGGUUAUUGUUGAGGCUAGGGUUAGGGUUACGGUUGUGGCUAGGGUUAGGGUUAGGGUUAGGAUUAUGGUGAUUUUUGAGGCUAGGGUUAGGGUUAGGGUUAGAGUGACGUUUGAGGCUAGGGUUAGGGUUAGGGUUGUGGUUGAGGCUAGGGCUAGGGUUAGAGUUAGAGUUAUGUUUGAGGCUAGGGUUAGGGUUAGGGUUAUAGUGAUGUUUGAGGACAGGGCUAGGGUUAGGGUUAGUGUUGUGGUUGAGGCUAGGGUUAGGGCUAGGGUUAUUGUUGAGGCUAGGGUUAGGGUUACAGUUGUGGCUAGGGUUAGGGUUAGGGUUAGGGUUAGGGUUGUGGUUGAGGCUAGGGUUAGGGUUAGGGUUAGAGUGAUGUUUGAGGCUAGGGUUAGGGUUAGGGUUAGGGUUGUGGUUGAGGCUAGGGUUAGGGUUAGGGUUAGGGUUCGAGAGAUAUUUGGGGCUAGGGUUAGGGUUAGGGUUAGGGUUGUGAUUGAGGCUAGGGUUAGGGUUGUGGUUGAGGCCAGGGUUAGGGUUAGGGUUAGGGUUAGGGUUGUGGUUGAGGCUAGGGUUAGGGUUAGGGUAAGGGUUACGGUUGAGGCUAGGGUUAGGGUAAGGGUUAGGGUUAGGGUUAUGGUUGAGGCUAGGGUUAGGGUUACGGUUGAGGCUGAGGCUAGGGUUAGGGUUAGGGUUAGGGUUGUGGCUGAGGCCAGGGUUAGGGUUAGUGUUAGGGUUAGAGAGAUAUUUGGGGCUAGGGUUAGGGUUAGGGUUGUGACUGAGGCUAGGGUUAGGGUUAGGGUUAGGGUUGUGGUUGAGGCUAGGGUUAGGGUUAGGGUUGUGGUUGAGGCUAGGGUUAGGGUUAGGGUUAUGGUUGAGGCUAGGGUUAGGGUUAGUUUUAGGGUUGUGGUUGAGGCUAGGGUUAGGGUUAGGGUUAGAGUUAUGUUUGAGGCUAGGGUUAGGGUUAGGGUUAGGGUUGUGGCUGAGGCUAGGGUUAGGGUUAGGGUUAGGGUUAUUGUUGAGGCUAGGGUUAGGGUUACGGUUGUGGCUAGGGUUAGGGUUAGGGUUAGGGUUAUGGUGAUUUUUGAGGCUAGGGUUAGGGUUAGGGUUAGAGUGAUGUUUGAGGCUAGGGUUAGGGUUAGGGUUAGGGUUGUGGUUGAGGCUAGGGUUAGGGUUAGGGUUAGGGUUGUGGUUGAGGCUAGGGUCAGGGUUAGGGUUAGGGUUAUGGUUGAGGCUAGGGUUAGGGUUAGGGUUGUGGUUGAGGCUAGGGUUAGGGUUAGGGUUAGAGUUAUGUUUGAGGCUAGGGUUAGGGUUAGAGUGAUGUUUGAGGCCAGGGCUAGGGUUAGGGUUAGGGUUGUGGUUUAGGCUAGGGUUAGGGUUAGGGUUAGGGUUAUUGUUGAGGCUAGGGUUAGGGUUACGGUUGUGGCUAGGGUUAGGGUUAGGGUUAGGGUUAUGGUGAUUUUUGAGGCUAGGGUUAGGGUUAGGGUUAGAGUGAUGUUUGAGGCUAGGAUUAGGGUUAGGGUUAGGGUUGUGGUUGAGGCUAGGGUUAGGGUUAGGGUUAGGGUUAGAGAGAUAUUUGGGGCUAGGGUUAGGGUUAGGGUUAUGGUUGAGGCUAGGGUUAGGGUUAGGGUUAGGGUUGUGGCUGAGGCUUGGGUUAGGGUUAGGGUUAGGGUUGUGGUUGAGGCUAGGGUUAGGGUUAGGGUUAGGGUUAUGUUUUAGGCUAGAGUUAGGGUUAGGGUUAGAGUGAUAUUUGAGGCUAGGGCUAGGGUUAGGGUUAGGGUUGUGGUUGAGGCUAGGGUUAGGGUUAGGGUUAUGGUUGAGGCUAGGGUCGGGUUAGGGUUAGGGUUGUGGCUGAGGCUAGGGUUAGGGUUAGGGUUAUGGUGAUUUUCGAGGCUAGAGUUGGGGGUUAGGGUUACGGUUGUGGUUGAGGCUAGGGUUAGGGUUAGGGUUAGAGAGCUUUUCGAGGCUAGGGUUAGGGUUAGGGUUAGGGUUGUGGUUGAGGCUAGGGUUAGGGUUAGGGUUACGGUUGUGGCUGAGGCUAGGGUUAGGGUUAGGGUUGUGGCUGAGGCUAGGGUUAGGGUUAGGGUUAGGGUUAGAGAGAUAUUUGGGGCUAGGGUUAGGGUUAGGGUUAGGGUUAGAGAGAUAUUUGGGGCUAGGGUUAGGGUUUUGGUUGAGGCUAGGGUUAGGGUUAGGGUUAGGGUUAGGGUUGUGGUUGAGGCUAGAGUUAGGGUUAGGGUUAGGGUUAUGGUUGAGGCUAGGGUUAGGGUUAGGGUUAGGGUUGUGGUUGAGGCUAGGGUUAGGGUUAGGGUUAGGGUUAGAGUCAUGUUUGAGGCUAGGGUUAGGGUUAGAGUGAUGUUUGAGGCCAGGGCUAGGGUUAGGGUUAGGGUUGUGGUUGAGGCUAGGGUUACGGUUAGGGUUAGGGUUAUGGUUGAGACUAGGGUUAGGGUUAGGGUUACGGUUGUGGCUGAGGCCAGGGUUAGGGUUAGGGUUAGGGUUGUUGCUGAGGCUAGGGUUAGGGUUAGGGUUAGAGUGAUGUUUGAGGCUAGUGUUAGGGUUAGGGUUAGGGUUGUGUUUAAGGCUAGGGUUAGGGUUAGGGUUAGGGUUAGGGUUGUGGUUGAGGCUAGGGUUAGGGUUAGGGUUAGGGUUAUGGUUGAGGCUAGGGUUAGGGUUAGGGUUAGAGUUAUGUUUGAGGCUAGGGUUAGGGUUAGAGUGAUGUUUGAGGCCAGGGCUAGGGUUAGGGUUAGGGUUGUGGUUGAGGCUAGGGUUAGGGUUAGGGUUAGGGUUAUUGUUGAGGCUAGGGUUAGGGUUACGGUUGUGGCUAGGGUUAGGGUUAGGGUUAUUGUGAUUUUUGAGGCUAGGGUUAGGGUUAGGGUUAGAGUGAUGUUUGAGGCUAGGGUUAGGGUUAGGGUUAGGGUUGUGGUUGAGGCUAGGGUUAGGGUUAGGGUUAGGGUUAGGGUUAGAGAGAUAUUUGGGGCUAGGGUUAGGGUUAGGGUUAGGGUUGUGGUUGAGGCUAGGGUUAGGGUUAGGGUUAGGGUUACGGUUGAGGCUAGGGUUAGGGUUAGGGUUACGGUUGUGGCUGAGGCUAGGGUUAGGUUUAGCGUUAGGGUUGUGGCUGAGGCUAGGGUUAGGGUUAGGGUUAGAGUGAUGUUUGAGGCUAGUUUUAGGGUUAGGGUUAGGGUUGUGUUUAAGGCUAGGGUUAGGGUUAGGGUUAGGGUUAGGGUUGUGGUUGAGGCUAGGGUUAGGGUUAGGGUUAGGGUUAUGGUUGAGGCUAGGGUUAGGGUUAGGGUUAGAGUUAUGUUUGAGGCUAGGGUUAGGGUUAGAGUGAUGUUUGAGGCCAGGGCUAGGGUUAGGGUUAGGGUUGUGGUUGAGGCUAGGGUUAGGGUUAGGGUUAGGGUUAUUUUUGAGGCUAGGGUUAGGGUUACGGUUGUGGCUAAGGUUAGGGUUAGGGUUAGGGUUAUUGUGAUUUUUGAGGCUAGGGUUAGGGUUAGGGUUAGAGUGAUGUUUGAGGCUAGGGUUAGGGUUAGGGUUAGGGUUGUGGUUGAGGCUAGGGUUAGGGUUAGGGUUAGGGUUAGAGAGAUAUUUGGGGCUAGGGUUAGGGUUAGGGUUAGGGUUGUGGUUGAGGCUAGGGUUAGGGUUAGGGUUAGGGUUAUGGUUGAGGCUAGGGUUAGGGUUAGGGUUACGGUUGUGGCUGAGCCUAGGGUUAGGUUUAGGGUUAGGGUUGUGGCUGAGGCUAGGGUUAGGGUUAGGGUUAGAGUUAUGUUUUAGGCUAGGGUUAGGGUUAGGGUUAGAGUGAUAUUUGAGGCUAGGGCUAGGGUUAGGGUUAGGGUUGUGGUUGAGGCUAGGGUUAGGGUUAGGGUUAGGGUUAUGGUUGAGGCUAGGGUCGGGUUAGGGUUAGGGUUGUGGCUGAGGCUAGGGUUAGGGUUGGGGUUAAAGAGCUUUUCGAGGCUAGGGUUAGGGUUAGGGUUAGGGUUAGGGUUAGGGUUGUGGUUGAGGCUAGGUUUAGGGUUAGGGUUAUGGUUGAGGCUAGGGUUAGGGUUAGGGUUAGGGUUGUGGUUGAGGCUAGGGUUAGGGUUAGGGUUAGGGUUAGGGUUAGAGUUAUGUUUGAGGCUAGGGUUAGGGUUAGAGUGAUGUUUGAGGCCAGGGCUAGGGUUAGGGUUAGGGUUGUGGUUGAGGCUAGGGUUAGGGUUAGGGUUAGGGUUAUUGUUGAGGCUAGGGUUAGGGUUACGGUUGUGGCUAGGGUUAGGGUUAGGGUUAGGGUUAUGGUGAUUUUUGAGGCUAGGGUUAGGGUUAGGGUUAGAGUGAUGUUUGAGGCUAGGAUUAGGGUUAGGGUUAGGGUUGUGGUUGAGGCUAGGGUUAGGGUUAGGGUUAGGGUUAGAGAGAUAUUUGGGGCUAGGGUUAGGGUUAGGGUUAUGGUUGAGGCUAGGGUUAGGGUUAGGGUUAGGGUUGUGGCUGAGGCUUGGGUUAGGGUUAGGGUUAGGGUUGUGGUUGAGGCUAGGGUUAGGGUUAGGGUUAGGGUUAUGUUUUAGGCUAGAGUUAGGGUUAGGGUUAGAGUGAUAUUUGAGGCUAGGGCUAGGGUUAGGGUUAGGGUUGUGGUUGAGGCUAGGGUUAGGGUUAGGGUUAUGGUUGAGGCUAGGGUCGGGUUAGGGUUAGGGUUGUGGCUGAGGCUAGGGUUAGGGUUAGGGUUAGAGUAAUGUUUGAGGCUAGGGCUAGGGUUAGGGUUAGGGUUAGGGUAGUGGUUGAGGCUAGGGUUAGGGUUAGGGUUAGGGUUGUGGUUGAGGCUAGGGUUAGGGUUAGGGUUAGGGUUAGAGAGAUAUUUGGGGCUAGGGUUAGGGUUAGGGUUGUGGUUGAGGCUAGGGUUAGGGUUAGGGUUAGGGUUAUGGUUGAGGCUAGGGUUAGGGUUAGGGUUACGGUUGUGGCUGAGGCUAGGGUUAGGGUUAGGGUUAGAGUUAUGUUUGAGGCUAGGGUUAGGGUUAGAGUGAUGUUUGAGGCCAGGGCUAGGGUUAGGGUUAGGUGUGUGGUUGAGGCUAGGGUUAGGGUUAGGGUUAUUGUUGAGGAUAGGGUUAGGGUUACGGUUGUGGCUAGGGUUAGGGUUAGGGUUAUGGUGAUUUUUGAGGCUAGGGUUAGGGUUAGGGUUAGAGUGAUGUUUGAGGCUAGGGUUAGGGUUAGGGUUAGGGUUUUGGUUGAGGCUAGGGUUAGGGUUCGGGUUAGGGUUAGAGAGAUAUUUGGGGCUAGGGUUAGGGUUAGGGUUAGGGUUGUGGUUGAGUCUAGGGUUAGGGUUAGGGUUAGGGUUAUGGUUGAGGCUAGGGUUAGGGUUAGGGUUACGGUUGUGGCUGAGGCUAGGGUUAGGGUUAGGGUUAGGGUUGUGGCUGAGGCUAGGGUUAGGGUUAGGGUUAGAGUUAUGUUUGAGGCUAGGGUUAGGGUUAGGGUUAGAGUAAUGUUUGAGGCUAGGGCUAGGGUUAGGGUUAGGGUAAGGGUUGUGGUUGAGGCUAGGGUUAGGGUUAGGGUUAGGGUUAGGGUUAGGGUUGUGGUUGAGGCUAGGUUUAGGGUUAGGGUUAUGGUUGAGGCUAGGGUUAGGGUUAGGGUUAGGGUUGUGGUUGAGGCUAGGGUUAGGGUUAGGGUUAGGGUUAGGGUUAGAGUUAUGUUUGAGGCUAGGGUUAGGGUUAGAGUGAUGUUUGAGGCCAGGGCUAGGGUUAGGGUUAGGUGUGUGGUUGAGGCUAGGGUUAGGGUUAGGGUUAUUGUUGAGGAUAGGGUUAGGGUUACGGUUGUGGCCAGGGUUAGGGUUAGGGUUAGGGUUAUGGUGAUUUUUGAGGCUAGGGUUAGGGUUAGGGUUAGAGUGAUGUUUGAGGCUAGGGUUAGGGUUAGGGUUAGGGUUUUGGUUGAGGCUAGGGUUAGGGUUCGGGUUAGGGUUAGAGAGAUAUUUGGGGCUAGGGUUAGGGUUAGGGUUAGGGUUGUAGUUGAGGCUAGGGUUAGGGUUAGGGUUAGGGUUAUGGUUGAGGCUAGGGUUAGGGUUAGGGUUACGGUUGUGGCUGAGGCUAGGGUUAGGGUUAGGGUUAGGGUUUGGGGCUGAGGCUAGGGUUAGGGUUAGGGUUAGAGUUAUGUUUGAGGCUAGGGUUAGGGUUAGGGUUAGAGUAAUGUUUGAGGCUAGGGCUAGGGUUAGGGUUAGGGUUAGGGUAGUGGUUGAGGCUAGGGUUAGGGUUAGGGUUAGGGUUGUGGUUGAGGCUAGGGUUAGGGUUAGGGUUAGGGUUAGAGAGAUAUUUGGGGCUAGGGUUAGGGUUAGGGUUGUGGUUGAGGCUAGGGUUAGGGUUAGGGUUAGGGUUAUGGUUGAGGCUAGGGUUAGGGUUAGGGUUACGGUUGUGGCUGAGGCUAGGGUUAGGGUUAGGGUUAGAGUUAUGUUUGAGGCUAGGGUUAGGGUUAGAGUGAUGUUUGAGGCCAGGGCUAGGGUUAGGGUUAGGUGUGUGGUUGAGGCUAGGGUUAGGGUUAGGGUUAUUGUUGAGGAUAGGGUUAGGGUUACGGUUGUGGCUAGGGUUAGGGUUAGGGUUAUGGUGAUUUUUGAGGCUAGGGUUAGGGUCAGGGUUAGAGUGAUGUUUGAGGCUAGGGUUAGGGUUAGGGUUAGGGUUUUGGUUGAGGCUAGGGUUAGGGUUCGGGUUAGGGUUAGAGAGAUAUUUGGGGCUAGGGUUAGGGUUAGGGUUAGGGUUGUGGUUGAGGCUAGGGUUAGGGUUAGGGUUAGGGUUAUGGUUGAGGCUAGGGUUAGGGUUAGGGUUACGGUUGUGGCUGAGGCUAGGGUUAGGGUUAGGGUUAGGGUUGUGGCUGAGGCUAGGGUUAGGGUUAGGGUUAGAGUUAUGUUUGAGGCUAGGGUUAGGGUUAGGGUUAGAGUAAUGUUUGAGGCUAGGGCUAGGGUUAGGGUUAGGGUUAGGGUAGUGGUUGAGGCUAGGGUUAGGGUUAGGGUUAGGGUUGUGGUUGAGGCUAGGGUUAGGGUUAGGGUUAGGGUUAGAGAGAUAUUUGGGGCUAGGGUUAGGGUUAGGGUUGUGGUUGAGGCUAGGGUUAGGGUUAGGGUUAGGGUUAGGGUUAUGGUUGAGGCUAGGGUUAGGGUUAGGGUUACGGUUGUGGCUGAGGCUAGGGUUAGGGUUAGGGUUAGGGUUGUGGCUGAGGCUAGGGUUAGGGUUAGGGUUAGAGUUAUGUUUGAGGCUAGGGUUAGGGUUAGGGUUAGGGUUGUGGUUGAGGCUAGGGUUAGGGUUACGGUUAGGGUUAGGGUUGUGGUUGAGGCUAGGUUUAGGGUUAGGGUUAUGGUUGAGGCUAGGGUUAGGGUUAGGGUUAGGGUUGUGGUUGAGGCUAGGGUUAGGGUUAGGGUUAGGGUUAGGGUUAGAGUUAUGUUUGAGGCUAGGGUUAGGGUUAGAGUGAUGUUUGAGGCCAGGGCUAGGGUUAGGGUUAGGUGUGUGGUUGAGGCUAGGGUUAGGGUUAGGGUUAUUGUUGAGGAUAGGGUUAUGGUGAUUUUUGAGGCUAGGGUUAGGGUUAGGGUUAGAGUGAUGUUUGAGGCUAGGGUUAGGGUUAGGGUUAGGGUUUUGGUUGAGGCUAGGGUUAGGGUUCGGGUUAGGGUUAGAGAGAUAUUUGGGGCUAGGGUUAGGGUUAGGGUUAGGGUUGUGGUUGAGGCUAGGGUUAGGGUUAGGGUUAGGGUUAUGGUUGAGGCUAGGGUUAGGGUUAGGGUUAGGGUUACGGUUGUGGCUGAGGCUAGGGUUAGGGUUAGGGUUAGGGUUUUGGCUGAGGCUAGGGUUAGGGUUAGGGUUAGAGUUAUGUUUGAGGCUAGGGUUAGGGUUAGGGUUAGAGUAAUGUUUGAGGCUAGGGUUAGGGUUCGGGUUAGGGUUAGGGUAGUGGUUGAGGCUAGGGUUAGGGUUAGGGUUAGGGUUGUGGUUGAGGCUAGGGUUAGGGUUAGGGUUAGAGAGAUAUUUGGGGCUAGGGUUAGGGUUAGGGUUGUGGUUGAGGCUAGGGUUAGGGUUAGGGUUAGGGUUAGGGUUAGAGAGAUAUUUGGGGCUAGGGUUAGGGUUAGGGUUGUGGUUGAGGCUAGGGUUAGGGUUAGGGUUAGGGUUAUGGUUGAGGCUAGGGUUAGGGUUAGGGUUAGGGUUGUGGCUGAGGCUAGGGUUAGGGUUAGGGUUAGAGUUAUGUUUGAGGCUAGGGUUAGGGUUAGAGUGAUGUUUGAGGCCAGGGCUAGGGUUAGGGUUAGGUGUGUGGUUGAGGCUAGGGUUAGGGUUAGGGUUAUUGUUGAGGAUAGGGUUAGGGUUACGGUUGUGGCUAGGGUUAGGGUUAGGGUUAUGGUGAUUUUUGAGGCUAGGGUUAGGGUUAGGGUUAGGGUUAGAGUGAUGUUUGAGGCUAGGGUUAGGGUUAGGGUUAGGGUUGUGGUUGAGGCUAGGGUUAGGGUUAGGGUUAGGGUUAGGGUUGUGGUUGAGGCUAGGUUUAGGGUUAGGGUUAUGGUUGAGGCUAGGGUUAGGGUUAGGGUUAGGGUUGUGGUUGAGGCUAGGGUUAGGGUUAGGGUUAGGGUUAGGGUUAUGUUUGAGGCUAGGGUUAGGGUUAGAGUGAUGUUUGAGGCCAGGGCUAGGGUUAGGGUUAGGUGUGUGGUUGAGGCUAGGGUUAGGGUUAGGGUUAUUGUUGAGGAUAGGGUUAGGGUUACGGUUGUGGCUAGGGUUAGGGUUAGGGUUAUGGUGAUUUUUGAGGCUAGGGUUAGGGUUAGGGUUAGAGUGAUGUUUGAGGCUAGGGUUAGGGUUAGGGUUAGGGUUUUGGUUGAGGCUAGGGUUAGGGUUCGGGUUAGGGUUAGAGAGAUAUUUGGGGCUAGGGUUAGGGUUAGGGUUAGGGUUGUGGUUGAGGCUAGGGUUAGGGUUAGGGUUAGGGUUAUGGUUGAGGCUAGGGUUAGGGUUAGGGUUAGGGUUACGGUUGUGGCUGAGGCUAGGGUUAGGGUUAGGGUUAGGGUUUUGGCUGAGGCUAGGGUUAGGGUUAGGGUUAGAGUUAUGUUUGAGGCUAGGGUUAGGGUUAGGGUUAGAGUAAUGUUUGAGGCUAGGGUUAGGGUUCGGGUUAGGGUUAGGGUAGUGGUUGAGGCUAGGGUUAGGGUUAGGGUUAGGGUUGUGGUUGAGGCUAGGGUUAGGGUUAGGGUUAGGGUUAGAGAGAUAUUUGGGGCUAGGGUUAGGGUUAGGGUUGUGGUUGAGGCUAGGGUUAGGGUUAGGGUUAGGGUUAGGGUUAGAGAGAUAUUUGGGGCUAGGGUUAGGGUUAGGGUUGUGGUUGAGGCUAGGGUUAGGGUUAGGGUUAGGGUUAUGGUUGAGGCUAGGGUUAGGGUUAGGGUUAGGGUUGUGGCUGAGGCUAGGGUUAGGGUUAGGGUUAGAGUUAUGUUUGAGGCUAGGGUUAGGGUUAGAGUGAUGUUUGAGGCCAGGGCUAGGGUUAGGGUUAGGUGUGUGGUUGAGGCUAGGGUUAGGGUUAGGGUUAUUGUUGAGGAUAGGGUUAGGGUUACGGUUGUGGCUAGGGUUAGGGUUAGGGUUAUGGUGAUUUUUGAGGCUAGGGUUAGGGUUAGGGUUAGAGUGAUGUUUGAGGCUAGGGUUAGGGUUAGGGUUAGGGUUGUGGUUGAGGCUAGGGUUAGGGUUAGGGUUAGGGUUAGGGUUAGGGUUGUGGUUGAGGCUAGGUUUAGGGUUAGGGUUAUGGUUGAGGCUAGGGUUAGGGUUAGGGUUAGGGUUGUGGUUGAGGCUAGGGUUAGGGUUAGGGUUAGGGUUAGGGUUAGAGUUAUGUUUGAGGCUAGGGUUAGGGUUAGAGUGAUGUUUGAGGCCAGGGCUAGGGUUAGGGUUAGGUGUGUGGUUGAGGCUAGGGUUAGGGUUAGGGUUAUUGUUGAGGAUAGGGUUAGGGUUACGGUUGUGGCUAGGGUUAGGGUUAGGGUUAUGGUGAUUUUUGAGGCUAGGGUUAGGGUUAGGGUUAGAGUGAUGUUUGAGGCUAGGGUUAGGGUUAGGGUUAGGGUUUUGGUUGAGGCUAGGGUUAGGGUUUGGGUUAGGGUUAGAGAGAUAUUUGGGGCUAGGGUUAGGGUUAGGGUUAGGGUUGUGGUUGAGGCUAGGGUUAGGGUUAGGGUUAGGGUUACGGUUGAGGCUAGGGUUAGGGUUAGGGUUAGGGUUACGGUUGUGGCUGAGGCUAGGGUUAGGGUUAGGGUUAGGGUUUUGGCUGAGGCUAGGGUUAGGGUUAGGGUUAGAGUUAUGUUUGAGGCUAGGGUUAGGGUUAGGGUUAGAGUAAUGUUUGAGGCUAGGGCUAGGGUUAGGGUUAGGGUAGUGGUUGAGGCUAGGGUUAGGGUUAGGGUUAGGGUUGUGGUUGAGGCUAGGGUUAGGGUUAGGGUUAGGGUUAGAGAGAUAUUUGGGGCUAGGGUUAGGGUUAGGGUUGUGGUUGAGGCUAGGGUUAGGGUUAGGGUUAGGGUUAUGGUUGAGGCUAGGGUUAGGGUUAGGGUUACGGUUGUGGCUGAGGCUAGGGUUAGGGUUAGGGUUAGAGUUAUGUUUGAGGCUAGGGUUAGGGUUAGAGUGAUGUUUGAGGCCAGGGCUAGGGUUAGGGUUAGGUGUGUGGUUGAGGCUAGGGUUAGGGUUAGGGUUAUUGUUGAGGAUAGGGUUAGGGUUACGGUUGUGGCUAGGGUUAGGGUUAGGGUUAUGGUGAUUUUUGAGGCUAGGGUUAGGGUUAGGGUUAGAGUGAUGUUUGAGGCUAGGGUUAGGGUUAGGGUUAGGGUUUUGGUUGAGGCUAGGGUUAGGGUUCGGGUUAGGGUUAGAGAGAUAUUUGGGGCUAGGGUUAGGGUUAGGGUUAGGGUUAUGGUUGAGGCUAGGGUUAGGGUUAGGGUUAGGGUUGUGGCUGAGGCUAGGGUUAGGGUUAGGGUUAGGGUUGUGGCUGAGGCUAGGGUUAGGGUUAGGGUUAGAGUUAUGUUUGAGGCUAGGGUUAGGGUUAGGGUUAGAGUAAUGUUUGAGGCUAGGGCUAGGGUUAGGGUUAGGGUUAGGGUAGUGGUUGAGGCUAGGGUUAGGGUUAGGGUUAGGGUUGUGGUUGAGGCUAGGGUUAGGGUUAGGGUUAGGGUUAGAGAGAUAUUUGGGGCUAGGGUUAGGGUUAGGGUUGUGGUUGAGGCUAGGGUUAGGGUUAGGGUUAGGGUUAUGGUUGAGGCUAGGGUUAGGGUUAGGGUUACGGUUGUGGCUGAGGCUAGGGUUAGGGUUAGGGUUAGGGUUGUGGCUGAGGCUAGGGUUAGGGUUAGGGUUAGAGUUAUGUUUGAGGCUAGGGUUAGGGUUAGGGUUAGGGUUGUGGUUGAGGCUAGGGUUAGGGUUAGGGUUAGGGUUAGGGUUAUGGUUGAGGCUAGGGUCGGGUUAGGGUUAGGGUUGUGGCUGAGGCUAGGGUUAGGGUUAGGGUUAGGGUUAUGGUGAUUUUUGAGGCUAGAGUUAGGGUUAGGGUUACGGUUGUGGUUGAGGCUAGGGUUAGGGUUAGGGUUAGAGAGCUUUUCGAGGCUAGGGUUAGGGUUAUGGUUAUGGUUGAGGCUAGGGUUAGGGUUAUGGUUAUGGUUAUGGUUGAGGCUAGGGUUAGGGUUAGGGUUAUGGUUGAGGCUAGGGUUAGGGUUUUGGCUGAGGCUUGGGUUAGGGUUACGUUUGAGGCUAGGGUUAGGGUUAGGGUUAGAGUGAUGUUUGAGGCUAGGGAUAGGGUUAGGGUUAGGGUUGUGGUUGAGGCUAGGGUUAGGGUUAGGGUUAGAGAGAUAUUUGAGGCUAGGGUUAGGGUUACGGUUAGAGUGAUGUUUGAGGCUAGGGUUAGGGUUAUGGUUGAGGCUAGGGUUAGGGUUAGGGUUAGAGUUGUGGCUGAGGCUAGGGUUAGGGUUUGGGUUAGGGUUACAUUUGAGGCUAGGGUUAGGGUUAGGGUUAGAGUGAUGUUUGAGGCUAGGGUUAGGGUUAGGGUUAGGGUUGUGGUUGAGGCUAGGGUUAGGGUUAGGGUUGUGGAUGAGGCUAGGGUUAGAGUUAGGGUUAUGUUGAGGCUAGGGUUAGGGUUAGGGUUAUGUGUGAGGCUAGAGUAAGGGUUAGGGUUAGGGUCGAGGCUAGGGUUAGGGUUAGGGUUAUGGUUGAGGCUAGGGUUAGGGUUCGGGUCAGGGUUGAUGCUAGGGUUAGGGUUAGGGUCAUUGAUGAGGCUAGUGUUAGGGUUAGGGUUGAGGCCAGGGUUAGGGUUUGAGCUCGGGGUAGGGGUUAGGGGUUAGGAUUAGGGUUUGUGUACGGGUUGAUGUUCGGUCUAGGGUCAGGGCUAGGGUCAGGGUUAGGGUUAGGGUAAGGGUUGAGGUUCGGGCUAGGGUCAGGGCUAGGGUUAGGGUUAGGGUUGAGGCUAGGGUUAGGGUUAGGGUUAGGGUUAGGGUUCGGGUUAGGGUCAUGGAUUUCGGCUAAGAAUCACUUUCCAGGACCUUUCUACAU